GGAGCAGCAGCAGCAGCAGCCGCCUGGCCGAGGUGUCGGCGCCGCCCGAGCAGGGCCAGCCCAUGACCCAGCGCGCCCUGUCCGUUCUGGUGCUGGCGAGCGCCACUCUCAUCGUCUACUUCGUGAUCCGGACCGUGCGGUUGUGACCUGUUUGCAAAUUUCUGACCCGCUAAGCUGCCGAAUUUGUGCCUCUCCCCGUCUUUCUCAUUUUGCUUGUAUCUGUCGUGCUUUAACUUGGAACUCUUCUGGGGAAGGCCCAAAUGUGUGGUUAUGCAUAAAGCACAUUAAUUAUGCAGCAAGUUCUCUGUGUACUUUUCAUUGUAGUUAGUUAUGCUGGUGAUGAUUGUGCCUAGUAUUUGCAUCCCUUAUUCCAGAAAGGCAGUUGAAAGGUGGUGUGUGGCAUGUACAAGCAUAUACAGUAAAUUAGGAUAUUGUGAUUGCUCCAUAGCUCUUACAGGUCAUUCUUGAGAAGCCUUCAGUCUUAUUUUUGUGUAGGAUGCAUAUCUUGUUAUCGUAUCUUAAAAGGAAAUGUCAUAAUCUUUUAUAAGGGAGUAAGAGUAGACAAGAGCACUUCUCAGUGUUAGUGUUUCUCCUAACAGGAGCCCAUUGGAUUUGGAGGUAUGAGUAAAUAAAAGCCUGUCAUUGCAGGAGCUGAAGAGGAAAACUCUCAUCUACUGCCAUUAUUUUCUGGAUGAGUGGUAAUUCCUUGACAUUCUGGUUUUGGCAGUAGGAAGUUGGCAGUUCUGCAUUUGAAACUGUAGUACUGUCUUCUAGGUGCCACCAUAAACAGGAAGGUUAAGGCUCAUGUUAUUCUGUAAUUCUGCUGCAUCUUGCUUUUGAAAUUUGGAAUAGAUGAAGUGCGUGUUUUUGAAUUUGAACUUGUAGCUGAAAAAUUUUUGCAACGGUCAUAUAAGAAAUACAAGGUCUAAGUACAAACAUCUCUGUUUUUUGAAAGGUUUUCUUGGGAUGAAUACAUAUGUCUUGCUAUCAGACAUAAAAACUUCAGGGCUCUUUCGCAACCUUUCAACCAUGUGACCUACUCAGUGGAUGAAGGGAAGACAGUGGAUGUAGUUUUUGUGGAUUUUAAUAAGGGUUUAGAUACUGUCCUUCACGGUACCCUCCUGGACAAGUUGUCAAGCUGUGGAGUGAGCAGGUUCACGGUGCAUUGGGUCAAGAGCCGGUGGAAUGACAGGGCUCAAAGGGUUGUAGUGAAGAACUCCAGCCAGUCACCAGUGGUGCUCCUCAGAGCUCAGUUCUAGGACUGGUUCCGGUCAAGAUUUUUAUCUGAAGGCUGGAGUUUAAUGUGCCAUUAGCAAGUUUGCUGAUGAUACCAAACUGGGAGGUGCAGUUGGCUUUCUCAAGGGACAAGAGGCCUUGCAGAGGGAUCUGGGUGGAUUGGAACAUUGGGCAAUCACCUGUGGCAUGAUAUUUAAUGAGAACAAAUGCUAGACUCUGCAGCUGAAACAGAAUAACACUGGACACAAGUAUUAAUUGGGAGAGGAGUAGCUGGAGAGCAGCCCCGCAGAAGGAUCUGGUAGUGCUGGUUGAUGUUCAGCUCAGUAUCAGUCAACAUGGGAAAAUUACAUCCCAGGGGCAUCACACAUAGCACAACAAGCCAGUCAAGAGAGAGGAUUGUCCCCCUGUGUUCAAUAUUGGGGUGGCCUUCCACUGACUAUUGUGUGCAGUGAUGACCCCUUGAUUUAAGAAGAAUAGUAAAACACUUCAGUGUGACCAGAGCAGGGCAACCAAGCUGGCAGAUGGGCUGGAAGGCAUGUCUUGUGAGGAGCAGCUGAGGACUUUGGACCUGUCUAGUUUGGAGAAAAGGAGGCCUGAGGGUUGACCUUAUGGGUCACCAGGGGAGGUAUAAAUGGGACAUCAGGAAGCAUUUCUUUACCAAUAGGGUGGUCAAAGAGCUUCCUAGAGAGGAGGUCAUUUGGACAAUACCAUAGUAUCAUCCUUUAGGUCAGCCCUGAAUUGAUCAGUUGACUAGAUGGUCAUUGUAGGUCCUUUCCAACUGAACAAUUGUAUUCUAAAACAGUCACAGGGUAAAGGAUUUUAAGUUAGAUUUUGUUAAAAGUCAGGACACUGCUUUAGAGUCAUAGCUAUGACUGUACAUGAAUCUUGCAUAAGCAUCUCCAGUAUUCUUUUAGCUGUAGUCUUUUGACUAAUUGGUAUAUAAAGUUUUGUGUCACAAGGGAUUAAUUUAUCCUUUUUUCAAAAGAAUUUGUUUGAAUCUAGAAAUCUGUGCCAGCUUUGUGAUGAGGGUUUUUUUGCAUUAUCUGCAAUCUGAACAUUUACUAUGGCUGUCUUAGGUUAUUUUUGACUCACAGUACCAACUCACGUUCCAUAUUAACCCAUUAAGGAAAAAUGGUAAAAUGUGACCAUCAGCAUUCUGUAAACAGUUGGCUCUGCACCGUGUUUGCUGAUCUGAAUUUUGGAUCUUAGGCAAGGCUUGUUCCAUAUGUGUGGGAGUAGUUCUGAAAAGCCAAAUGGAAGAGUUCAUUGUGUGGGGGCUCACAUGUGAUCUGGGCCUGUGCAGCAAAGCCCCAGAAAGUGAGAAAAGCAGACAUAAACAGUCGUGUGUCUGUGAUAAGCACUGUGCCUUAAUCUGAAAUGUGAGUCACCGCCUCUUCCUUCCGCUUUUUGUGAAGCAUACAAGGCAUUGACUCUAUGAGUUCUCUCUUAUUCUGAAGUGUAGUUAUAAACAAUGUUUUAACUUGAUAUUCAUAAAAGACUGCACAAAUGAUAAUAAAAAUUUUCAGUGUCACCCAUGGCUUGUGUUACACCUUUGCUAUAGCUUUGUUUCUUUUCUCUCUGAUUUGAUCAGCUGUUCUUUACAGAUGUAUAAAACGCAUAGAGAAUAUGUAACAAGGCAAUUUUUUCUCACUGCUAGACCUGCUAGAAGUAUACAUUUGCAUGUAUUUUUACUUGGCUCUUACAUUUAGCUGCCAAGUGCCUGUGUAGGCUUUUUGUAUUCAUUGCAGUAAUUCUGUACAAAACUACAGAUGACAUUCUUAUUAGCCUUAAUCAUUUCAUGUAAACUCUUGACUCUUAAAAUUGUCUGCCCUCUGAAUUUCAUAAAGCAGAGUGUUUACAUGUCACUUAUAAAUUUAAAGAAACUUAUACUAAGUAUCAAUAUAGAGGUAUUUUAAGGAAUAAUUUUCUUAAAUUAUUGAAGUAGAAAGUAGAGAAAUAUUCAUGUAACUUAAAUGUUUUAAAAUAC